rnacentral:rRNA from 1 species
AUUGAACGCUGGCGGCAGGCCUAACACAUGCAAGUCGAGCGGAUGAAGGGAGCUUGCUCCUGGAUUCAGCGGCGGACGGGUGAGUAAUGCCUAGGAAUCUGCCUGGUAGUGGGGGAUAACGUCCGGAAACGGGCGCUAAUACCGCAUACGUCCUGAGGGAGAAAGUGGGGGAUCUUCGGACCUCACGCUAUCAGAUGAGCCUAGGUCGGAUUAGCUAGUUGGUGGGGUAAAGGCCUACCAAGGCGACGAUCCGUAACUGGUCUGAGAGGAUGAUCAGUCACACUGGAACUGAGACACGGUCCAGACUCCGACGGGAGGCAGCAGUGGGGAAUAUUGGACGAUGGGCGAAAGCCUGAUCCAGCCAUGCCGCGUGUGUGAAGAAGGUCUUCGGAUUGUAAAGCACUUUAAGUUGGGAGGAAGGGAAGUAAGUUAAUACCUUGCUGUUUUGACGUUACCAACAGAAUAAGCACCGGCUAACUUCGUG